CAGGCUUCGGUUAGAACAGCCCUAACAGUCACGAGCAAAGGCUCUGCCAGGUGGAGGAAGGAUGGUCCAGUGAUCAGGGCACUAACACUGCACUUGUGGGCUAAAUGGUUCACUCUCCCCUUCCUGUGGGAUGCAGCACAGGAAGCUGCAGGAAUCCCACCCAGCUGCAGCUCACAGGAGCAUACCUAGGGACAAACACAAGCACAGUGUGAGAACAAGGGUUUGGCAGUGCAUUUGUCUGUCCAAACCUUCACAAGUCACAGACAGCCAGUUUGGAGCCUCCUGGUCCUCCUAAGAAGGACCAGGCCUUCCAGCAGCCACAGCUUUAGCUUUGUGUCCUGGAAAAGAUGGAAGAGAAGAAAGACACCCCUCCUUCCUUUCCCUGCUCUGCCUGAGCCCACCUGAAUUUCCUCCAUUUCCAUUCAUUCCUGUGAGGUCAGCAUAGUACACUGAGGAGAGACAUGGAGGUGCUGCCAGUCAGGAACCUUCCAGUGAUGGCAGAGGAAAGCUGCCAGGGAUGAGGGGACCAGGGGGACCCUCUCCUGCUUGUGGCCAUGGUUAGCUCCAGACUGAGCACCCUGACAGCUCAGCAGUGAUGCUGGGUCAGACCAGACCACUUCCCAAACCACUACUGGUGAUUUCAACUGCAGAGAAACAUUUUAGGUGGUUCAGAAGCUGCAGGGUGGAGAAGAGGUGGUGCUUUACAUUGCAUUUACAGUGAGCAAAGUCUAAAGAUCCUCAACACAGGGCAGCCCCGCAACAGGAGUUUUGCUUUAAAUAUAGGCAAGGAAAUCGAGUUUUAAGUGCUCGGCCUGAGGUUCCAAUCUCCUGACCUGAACGGUACCGUAACCCAUUGUGAACAGCAGCAUUGCCUUUUGCUUCCUGGAGAUCAUUAGCUAGCAGGGAAAAGUGUCCUGUGGGAGGCUAAAAUCCAGCCCAUGGCCAAUUAAGGCCAAACCUCCUUCUCUCCACAGCAUUGUUCCUAUCGACUGAAGUUUGGCAGUAAAUGGAUCAGAGCAGUGGACUGCUUUCUGUUUCUCUUGUACUCAGAUGAUGUCAACCUGAAAAUGUCCUCAGCAGCUCCCCAGUUCCAUCUGUAUAGAAAGACAGUAACAAAGAUGAUCAUGAAAUCCAGCUUGGGAAGACCUGCUUUGCCAAAUGGCUUUCCAGCCUGUUUAUCCUACUCUAUCCUAAUGUCAGCUGCUCACAAGCCAGGGCAGCACCACCUAUUCAGGAGCUGCCUGCCUAUGAAGUUACUUAGCUGCUUCAACGUGUGGUCCAAGAGACUCAUUUUUCCUAAAGCACUGCACUCCCAAUGCAAACCUAGCCAUCACUUUGUUCCCAUUUUCCCUAGGCAAAAUCAAUAGCUUUGAACCCAAAACUGUGCCCAGCUGGACUCUGAGCUGGUGCCUGGCAGCACACCUCACCAUCAGGCUGCUGAUUCCCACUUCCUUAAGGAACCACAUUCCUAGAAACAAACACCUACUGAGUCAAACAGCAGCACAGGAGACACGGGGAGG
rnacentral:lncRNA from 1 species